AGCGAACGCUGGCGGCAGGCCUAAUACAUGCAAGUCGAGCGCCCUUUCGGGGGAGCGGCGGACGGGUGAGUAACGCGUGGGAACGUGCCCUUUGGUACGGAACAACACAGGGAAACUUGUGCUAAUACCGUAUGUGCCCUUCGGGGGAAAGAUUUAUCGCCAUUGGAGCGGCCCGCGUUGGAGUAGGUAGUUGGUGAGGUAAAGGCUCACCAAGCCUACGAUCCAUAGCUGGUCUGAGAGGAUGAUCAGCCACACUGGGACUGAGACACGGCCCAGACUCCUACGGGAGGCAGCAGUGGGGAAUCUUGCGCAAUGGGCGAAAGCCUGACGCAGCCAUGCCGCGUGAAUGAUGAAGGUCUUAGGAUUGUAAAAUUCUUUCACCGGGGAAGAUAAUGACGGUACCCGGAGAAGAAGCCCCGGCUAACUUCGUGCCAGCCGCCGCGGUAA
rnacentral:rRNA from 1 species